rnacentral:rRNA from 1 species
AUGCAUGGUCAAGGGGCAGGAAGCAGGUUAACACGACUAAAUUCAUUGCCGCGGGAGCUGCCAAGGGCGGCGGAUCAUCGUCUUCGGCGCCAGGGGCCAGCGACGGUCACGCACGACGACGUGUCUGCGAUGGCGGAUGGCGGUCAAGCCAGCGGGAUGGGAGACGACGAGCAGCAGAAACAGUCUUGCUCCGUCGGGCAUCGGCGCGCACCGGCCAUAGGUGACCAACACCUGCUCGAGGGAGGACGCAGCCCCGCCCCCAAGCACUUCAUUCGGAAGAAACGGCAACCAUGGCCGAUCCCAAAGCUCGCCAGAGCAACAUCGUCCUCCAGAGGUUCCUCUCGUUCGUCUAUGGCCCAUGGCUCCUCGGCUUCGGAUUGGGUAAGGGAUGUCAGGGCGGAGGACGCUUGUCAACCCAAGCGCAUGCACGGUGUCGAGAUCUUCAGGACCAGGGACGCGAGCCACGCCCGCGCUCAGCCGCCUUGGAGCCUCGUGCGGCGCAUCAUCGUUAUCAGCUGA